rnacentral:pre_miRNA from 8 species
CGAUCCUCCUUCGUUGACUCCGAGGGGAUGCAGCAGCAAUUCAUGUUUUGAAGUGCUUUAAACGGUUCAAAACGUGAGGCGCUGCUAUACCCCCUUGCGAGGAAGUAGGAAGGUGGGGU